rnacentral:rRNA from 1 species
UGCGUAGGGUGCAAGCGUUGUCCGGAAUUAUUGGGCGUAAAGAGCUCGUAGGCGGUUUGUUAAGUCGAACGUGAAAUCCCUCGGCUUAACCGGGGAACUGCGUCUGAUACUGGAUGGCUUGAGUUCGGGAGAGGGAUGCGGAAUUCCAGGUGUAGCGGUGAAAUGCGUAGAUAUCUGGAGGAACACCGGUGGCGAAGGCGGCAUCCUGGACCGACACUGACGCUGAGGAGCGAAAGCCAGGGGAGCAAACGGG